rnacentral:rRNA from 1 species
CAGUAGCCACGGGAAUACGAAGGGGGCUAGCGUUGCUCGGAAUGACUGGGCGUAAAGGGCGCGUAGGCGGUUUGUACAGUUGGAUGUGAAAUUCCUGGGCUUAACCUGGGGGCUGCAUUCAAUACGUGCAGGCUUGAGUGUGGAAGAGGGUUGUGGAAUUCCCAGUGUAGGGGUGAAAUUCGUAGAUAUUGGAAGAACACCGGUGGCGAAGGCGGCAACCUGGUCCAUUACUGACGCUGAGGCGCGAAAGCGUGGGGAGCAAACAGGAUUAGAUACCCCAGUAGUCCCUGUCUCUUAUACA